AGAGUUUGAUCCUGGCUCAGGAUGAACGCUGACAGAAUGCUUAACACAUGCAAGUCUUUGGCGAAUCUGUGCUUGCACAGGCUAGCCAAGGCGGACGGGUGAGUAACGCGUAAAGAACUUGCCCUGCAGACAGGGAUAACAGACGGAAACGACUGACAACACCUGAUACAGUUGCCGGCACGCAUGUGCCCGGCAAUGAAAAGAGAUGCUGCGGGAGAGCUUUGCGUCCUAUUAGCUUGUUGGCGGGGUAACGGCCCACCAAGGCGAUGAUAGGUAGCCGGCCUGAGAGGGUGGACGGCCACAAGGGGACUGAGAUACGGCCCUUACUCCUACGGGAGGCAGCAGUGGGGAAUAUUGGACAAUGGGGGCAACCCUGAUCCAGCAAUUCUGUGUGCACGAAGAAGGUUUUCGGAUUGUAAAGUGCUUUCAGCAGGGAAGAAGAAAGUGACGGUACCUGCAGAAGAAGCGACGGCUAAAUACGUGCCAGCAGCCGCGGUAAUACGUAUGUCGCAAGCGUUAUCCGGAAUUAUUGGGCAUAAAGGGCAUCUAGGCGGCCAGAUAAGUCUGGGGUGAAAACUUGCGGCUCAACCGCAAGCCUGCCCUGGAAACUAUGUGGCUAGAGUACUGGAGAGGUGGACGGAACUGCACGAGUAGAGGUGAAAUUCGUAGAUAUGUGCAGGAAUGCCGAUGAUGAAGAUAGUUCACUGGACGGUAACUGACGCUGAAGUGCGAAAGCUGGGGGAGCGAACAGGAUUAGAUACCCUGGUAGUCCCAGCUGUAAACGAUGAUUACUGGGUGUGGGCAUGAAGAGUGUCCGUGCCGAAGCUAAUGCGAUAAGUAAUCCGCCUGGGGAGUACGGCCGCAAGGCUGAAACUCAAAGGAAUUGACGGGGACCCGCACAAGCGGUGGAGCAUGU
rnacentral:rRNA from 1 species